GGAGAGAUGGUAGAGUGGUCGAUUACACCGGUCUUGAAAACCGGCGUGCUGCGAGGCACCGGGGGUUCGAAUCCCUCUCUCUCCGCCA
rnacentral:tRNA from 1 species